AACAGCGGCUGUGGCUUCUAACACACCCGAUCCUUUGAUCUCGGAAAUUAAGCAACAUGCAGUUGGGUCAGUACUUGGAUGAGAGACCACCAUGGAAGACUGGAUGCUGGGUC
rnacentral:rRNA from 1 species